UACCUCUCUUCUCAUUUCAACAGAUACAGCCUGGUGCACUUUUGUUGAGGUGACUUUUUGCUCACCCUGUUGCCUUUAAUUCUCAGCAAGCUAUUGAGAGGCCUUUUUCUGCUGCUCACCCCUGCAACACUUCCUGGGUUCAGAAUGGUGGCCUUCUGGAUCCCUGCACUGCCCUGUUGUCCAUGCCGGGUUCUGGCUGGGGCCUGUGUACACUUGGUAUAGUAUCUGGCCGUGCCUCUGGCUGUGAUCUGACCCCCUACGUAGUUGUUUUCUGGGAGGGCCCUUGCCUGGGGCUGUGCCCCACAGUCACUGGUGGCUAAGCAGGCUUCUGACUGGGGUCUGCAUGCCCUUACCAAUGGUUUCAGGGUGGCCCUCUGGAUGUUAUUUGUGGACCUGUGCAGCUCUUUUCCAGGACUUUGAUCCUUUAUUCUUAAGGAAUGCAGAGUGGCCAAAGGUUCGUUUUCUUAUAGCUGCUUCAGGCUGAGGAGGGACGUUGACUCUGAGGAGGGACAUUGACUCUGGAAAAUCUCACUCUGACUGAUCUAUAAAAGACAUAGGAAGAUCAGGUUUUAUGUGAAGAAUCAUCAUCCUCUGACAGUUUGGAGAAAAGGGCAAGUAUUAGACACUUAUGCACCAUUUUAUAACCAUGUUAAAUAAGCAGGGGCCAAAAAUUAAAAGUAGAGUAUUGGUGAAUAAUGGCUCCAAAAAGUUGUAUAAACCAGACUAAAUUAGACAGAAUUUGGUAUAAUCCUUUACCUUUGAUAUUAACUGCUAUUUUUUGAAUUGUUUCCCCAAGCACAACAGGUGGAGAUUAAGAGCACAUAGACUCCUCCCUCUUUUGUCAAUAAGAAGUCCAAUUUUCUUCUACUAAAAUCAUAAAAUGGUCAGAAAAUACACUCAAUAAAGAAACCUGUUUCUAUGUGACUACUUGACCAUCCAUUAAAGUUCAUAUAGGCUCAGAACCUGGGAUCUGGCUUCUAUUUUGUAUAUCUGAAGAAGUUCUGUAGUGAUCAGCUUCAGAUAAUAUAAGCACAUGUAAUGUACAGGGUAGACAACAUAAAGUUUUUAACAC
rnacentral:lncRNA from 1 species